GCGAAUUGAAAGCUAAGCAGUGAUAAUUCUAAAGAUUCCCGGGGGGAAGCAAUGACGGUAUCUGGGGAAUAAGCAUCGGCUAACUCUGUGCCAGUAGCCGCGGUAAUACAGAGGAUGC
rnacentral:sRNA from 1 species